GAGACAUCCAUCCAGGGCAAGACUUGCUUCAGUGGGGCUUUGGUGCUCACUGAGUCUGCCCCCUGAAUGUGUCCUU
rnacentral:pre_miRNA from 1 species